rnacentral:misc_RNA from 1 species
UGAGAGUGCAUGCUUUAAAACCUCAUUAUCAAGUUCGCUUUGGCUGACUGAAUGAAUUAGCUUCAGCACAAUGCCAAUUGCCCCAGCAGCCACAAGUUCGUAUACACGAAAAUUGGUGCUGCUUUGGUCAUAAGGGACUCGUGUGGCUUGUUGUUGCAUGCUUGCCAAUAUGUGUUUGGUGGUCCUCCUAUCCAAAGCUGGUUGAGGCACUUUCCUUAACAGAGGCGUUGAGUUGGGUUAAGGCUCUUGGUUUCCAGUAGGGUGUUCAGUUCUGAUUCUGGUACAAUUCUAGCCAAGAAGGGGAUCUAGAACCAAAUAUUCGGUUCUUGAGCUUUAGGAAUCAAAUUUGGAACCAAAUUUCAAUUCUAGUUCCAAUUCAGUUCAAGCAAUUUUGAUAUGGUUUCAAUUCUAGUUUCGGUUUUAUUUUGGUUUCAAAUUUGGUUCUAAUUCCAUUUUAAAUCCUGAUUUUUAAACAUAAAAUUACAAUAUACUUGUGUUCAUUUUUCAACUAAUUUCCAGCAUGUAUUGUUUGAAACGAAUACUCAUUCUUAGUCCAAGCCUUGCGCAGG